rnacentral:rRNA from 1 species
AGUCGAACGCGAACGGAAUCUUCGGAUUCCAAGUAGAGUGGCGCACGGGUGAGUAACACGUGGAUAAUCUGCCCCAAGGUCUGGGAUAACACUUCGAAAGGGGUGCUAAUACCGGAUAAGCCCACGACUUCUUCGGGAGAUGUGGGAAAAGAUUUAUUGCCUUAGGAUGGGUCCGCGGUCCAUUAGCUAGUUGGUGGGGUAAUGGCCUACCAAGGCUGCGAUGGAUAGCUGGUCUGAGAGGAUGAUCAGCCACACUGGAACUGAGACACGGUCCAGACUCCUACGGGAGGCAGCAGUGGGGAAUUUUGCGCAAUGGGGGAAACCCUGACGCAGCAAUACCGCGUGAAGGAUGAAGGCCCUUGGGUCGUAAACUUCUGUCAGUGGGGAAGAAAUGCCCGUAAGGGAGAUGACGGUACCCACAAAGGAAGCACCGGCUAACUCCGUGCCAGCAGCCGCGGUAAUACGGAGGGUGCAAGCGUUGUUCGGAAUUAUUGGGCGUAAAGAGCAUGUAGGCGGACUAU